CGCGGUUCGGUGCCGGUUCCUUCUGGGAGAAGCGAUGCGGGCAGGGAACUGCGUUCCGCAUCGCCAGGAUGAAGGAGCAGCUCGUGCCCUGCACUACAAGGAGCGAUAACAGCAGCGGUUUCGUUGUGCCUGGUGUGACGCGUCAGUUCUCCCAAAUCCUCCCCAUUUCCUCUCUCCCAAAAUCGCAUUUUGUUACUUUACCGGCUGAUCGUUCUCCAGUAUGACUUUCCAGACUCAAUUACCUCUGAAUAAUUUAAAGCCGGGUUUAAAUUUAAUUUCUUUCUAUCCCACUGGGAAAGCCCCAGAAAGAGACAGCCGAUAAAGCUCAACUUCUGGGAAAUCCACUUGGCUUACGAGCAGACGGAUGGUGUGCUAUGUGACUGCAGAGUUCUGCAAAUCAAAUGUGGCAGCAGGAAUCGGCACCAAGCCUUCCCUCCCAAACAAAACCAACCAACCGGCCAAAAAUCCAAAGCAAACCAACCAGAAGACCUUCAGAAGAGAUGAGGAGGAAGUGAUUUUCAAAUAAUGGCAACAGAUUGGAAGGGAGAAGGUGGAGAGCACCUACUCAAGUUUCAAGCAAGAGAAUAUUAAAACUUCAUGGAUUAGAACACCCAGACAGGUUUUGGAGCAAUCGUGGCAGCGAGGUAAAAAGUGAGCUGGGUUCGAGGAACCAGGCUGCAGCACAGAUGCAAUGAGGGGAGAGUGCUCCAGUCCUGCAGCACUGCCAGUGCUCACUGGCAGAGGAAUUUGCUGGAUCCAGAUGUCCCAGUUCCACUGAAGUUCAGUGGAUGUCCUGGAUACAGGCAGUCUGUCACAUACACCAUGCUGUUGCAAACACAUGGCACAACUUCCCAAGAUGUCCCUUGAGGAGCACAGGGAGCACUCCUGGGCGGUUCGUGCAGCAGGAGGCACACCUUGAAGCCAUCCUGCUGAAGCCAGCACUGAUGUUAAACGACUCUGUGCCAAUCACACUGCUGCAGCAAAUGCCAAAUGAAUUUGAUGUUGAACACUUACAUUCUUACCUUUCUCAAUAACUCUGUUAAUAUUACAUUAAUUAUUCCUGAAUUACAAUGCUGUUGAAUGUUGAUAAAGCUGAAUUCUUUCUUGAAAUGCUGAUCCUGACAGUCCUGUGGCAGGCACUAAAAUGUGCUUUCCAGGUCUUAAGGGAAAAGAGGAAUAUAUUACUACUUCUGAUGAGAGGACUUCAGAAGAAACAUAUUCUAGUCACAUCUUGUGGAGCACUCGCCUGAAUCCCUCUUGCUUUCAGUAGCAGAUGCCUUUGCAUAAGACAUAAAAGGAAUAUACUCAUCACUUUUUUAGUUAAAAUUUUAUAGUGAUUGCUGAUGUAGAAUCAGCUCAGCGUGUAUGAACUGUUCCCACAACAGCAGUGCUGUGUGCAUACGGAGCUGAUCCUUGCCUCAUGAGAGCUGAUGCACCAGAGCAAAGCUGGCAGGAUGAACACGGAGAGAUCACUUCUUACUGGUAUCACCUUCUCUGCAGUUUUGGAUCUGAGCUCUCUGACAACUCUUUUAGGACUCAUUUCUGCACACCUACUGUUCACCUAAGACAUCCCUUGUGUAAUACUGCAAUUUUCAUGCUAAACUGCAUGACAGAGUGAGACUACCAGAUCUGGGAAAUUACAGUACUUAAUUUCCAGAUGACUGUAGUAAAAUCUUGGAAGAAAAGGGGUUUGGAAUAAAAUUACCAGAACACCCACAUAGCUUGGGAAGUCCCAGCCAUAUGUAAUUGAAACAAUCUCUGUGGUGACCUCAAGUGCUGAGACAGAAGUACCUGCACAGGCCAGUGCUCUGAUGAACACUCAUCAAAGGCUGUGUUAAUGCAGUGUCCCAUCAGCUGCAUUCAGCUAAGGUGGUUCAAAGCUCCCAGUCCAGGCUCCUUAUAGGUGCUGUGGGAGAAAUAAGCAGCUGUGACAUCUCCACACCUCCCCAAAGUCUGGAUAACUGGUGUGGCAGGGGAAGUGACCAGAGGGGGAGGAGAAAUGCUCAUAAAAUUGGCUUCUGUGGUGGCUGCAUGAGUUGUUUUUUUCUUUAACCUUCCACCCUCUUGCACAAGCACCCAGUGUGGCUUUCACUGUAGGAAAAAUGUUCCAUCUCUCAGGGGGUGUUUGUGGUUUCUGUUUAUUUGUUUAUUAGAAAAGAAAGCAUCUGGUAUAUGUGUACAAAUAUUAAUGAAUCGUUUAAAAUAUUCUCAGUGCUGCACUAGUGAGACUUCCAGCUAUGAGAAGGAAACGUGAUGGAAGGGAGCAGGCAGACCCCAAAGGACUGCUUUCCAAGCAUAGGAUGGGGCCUUUACUAGAAUCAACUCCAGCACCUGGGAUCCUUUUAAGAAGAAGCAAGAGCACUGUGUGUGAUCCAAGCAUUCAGAAUCCACGACACAAAUCCUCAGAUGUGGUGAAACCGCCUUUGUUAUCACCAGAGUCUAUAGGAGGAGAAAUUGAUGCAGGAUUUCUGAAAUAAAACUAUGCCUCCAGCCUAGGUUAUACAUGAAAAAGUGGUAAAUGAUGCAGCUGACCCCAGCCUGGUUUGCUCUGGACAAGAUCUGGCAUUGUUUUAGACACUGUGAUACAGCAGAGCAUCUGCAAAGGAAGAAAACAACUCUUGCUGUACUGCAUCACAGCUUUGGAUAGCUUGAAGCCUGAUGUGUUACAACACAGCUUGAAGAUGAGAUGGGACGCUGUCUUGGAGCUUGAGGUCUGUCUGGGCCCAGGAAAAUGGAUACGUUUGCAGUGUUGUUUGAAAGCUGCACCGACCUCAAGAAGGAGCCCUGAUUGUGGUGCCGGCACAACAGCAGAUGGCAGGGGAGCAAAUUGAGGCAAGCACCUCUGAUGCACAUGUGGACAGCUGAUACUGCCGUUUCCUAUUCUUAUCCUGAUUCACUACUCCUGAGAAUGUGAGCUAAGUUUUCUUUUUCUUUCCAAAAAGAACAUUUGGCAGGGUAACAUUCAGCAUCACAAGCUGGCCUUGAGAUGGGGUUUGCUCCAGCUUCCCUGCUGAGCCUCUGCGCACAGCUUGCUUCUAAAACAUGGCUCAGGCGCUGCUAGUUGCUGUGCUGUCACAAGGGCUGAUCCAGCACAGAACCUGCUUGGCAUUCUUGCAGAGAAAUUACCCAGUGCCGCAGCUCACAAUUUAUAAUUGAUUGCAUAUUAAUAUCCAAAAAAGGCAAUAAAAUCCACUCUGUGUUUUUACAAAAGGAAAAAAAAAAAAAAAGUACUACAAGCCGAGCAGCAAAAAUGUGGAGAACUCCUUGGCUGGCGCAGAGCUGUGCACACUGCUGCUUCUCCCUUAAUUACAAGCAGUUUAAAAUCAUCUCCUUCCUUCAAAGGAGGAUUUUGCUUGGUGUUUGCAUUAGUUUUAAUCUCACGAACGUGAUGCUCUCUUGGAACGUGUCCCUCGUGCUGUAACAGCAAGACAUGCUGCUGCUUUUGUCCCUGCCACUUGGGAAAGGCGCAGCUCCUGCUGCUUGUCCCUGCGGCCAUGGGGCUGUUGAUAUCAAUACACCACCCUUUAAAGGGAAAGAAAGCAGAACAAAACCCAACAGCAGCUUUUUUUUUUCCCCGCAAAGAGUCCCCUUUUAUUUGUUGUGUUCGAGCCAGGCUGUGCAAGUGCUUCCUGAAAAUGGGUGAUUUAAAAUGUACUGCACUGCAUUGUAGAGGAAAGCUUGUUAUUCAGCAUACUAAUUAUUUCUGACUCCCUGUAUCUAUGAAAUGCCAUGUAAUAACUAGCUCACCACAAUGCAAAUAGCACAAAAUCAGCGCCUUUUAUCAUUUUGGCGCUUUAGUGCAUAAACAUAUUCUAAAGUCUCUUGGGGGAAGGGGGAGGAGGGGAGUUACUGGGAAUUAAAUAAUGUUUUUAUGACUUCUAAAACAUGGCACUGAAUUUCAUAAUCUGUAACACUCCGUGUACGUAGUCCACGUUAUGCAUUUUAUUAAGUCUCAGUGGCUUACACUGCAAAGGUCAGCUGCAAAGAGAAGGUGUGCAAAGGCUGUUUUGUGGAAUGGGGGGAGCAUCCUUGGGACAAGUUGUAAUUUCAUACCUACGCCAUGCUGGGACACCAAAACUUAUCCCCAGCUGCUUUUGCUUCAGGAAGGAUGAAAGCUGGGUUUCUAACUGAGGCUUUGUGGCCAGCAUAUAUCACUAGAGGAUGAGUCUGGGGUUUGUCAAGCCCCAAAAGAACGACCCACUACCACCAGAGUAAUGCAGAAGUCUGAACAUCCACAGAUGGUAACUAGGAGCAAUUGAAGUAUGAAGUAUGGGCUGCAGCUCCAGGUGAGUUUCUGGGUACUUCCAUGUGGUCUCCAGGAACAACAGGCAGGUGUUUCCUACAGUGUGCAAUUCCAUAAAAUACUGUCCAUAAAACCAGGAGUUAUGGGCUUCCUUGUAAGAUUGCUUGAUACUACAAAGAGUUGUGGAUCGUAUGCUUUGGUGCUGGGAGAAGUGUCUGCUGACAGUAGUUAUCUAGCAUCCUGCUGGUAAGAGGCAGUGUGGUCUUGGAGCACAUAAACCUUCAGAAAACCUUAAGUGACAUUGAAAAUUAGAGAAAGCCACAGCUGCUAGUUGCAGUAGAUGCUGGGCAACUGAGCAUGUUGGUGGGUUUCUCUUACUGUGUGACAAGGACUAGCCUGGCUCAUGGAGCUAGAGUUAGCAGCCUUGGGGAGGCUUAGCAGUGCUUUAGAGCUGCCAGCUCCUUGUGCAUGUGCACAAGCCCAGGAAAGGGCCCUGGUGGAUCCAGCUGGGUCCUGCUUAGUCUGAAUUUACAGCUCUUGGCAGACUUGGGUGACGUGCCAUUUCCUCACUGCUUUACCUGUGGGCCUUAAAAACUGCAAGGAGUGUGAUGUAGUGUAUGUUCUGCUGAAACUGAGGAGUUGAUUUUUCCUUUCUAUGUUAAGAUAUUGCUUUUUUUUCUGCAUUUCGGAAACAGACUCAGAAUCUUCAGGCUCUUUAACCAUAUCACAUUUUCCUAAACAAAAAACUCGUGGAAAGUGAGGUUUUGUAAAUGAUGCAGAAGUGAAGUAAUGACAUUUAUCGUUCCAAAUGUGCAACCACUCUGACUUCCUUCUCAAGUGAAAAUAAUUGGAUCAACAACUGAUACUGAGGGAGGAAGGAGGCUUUCACUUCCCCUCAAGACUCCAUAUUGUAUUUUUUUUCUCCAGGUUAUCCUAUAAAUAAAAAUAGUCAUUAAGAUACAGUGGCUAUAAUAUCCAAGGAUAAGAAUUUGAGAUGCAAUGAGAGAUGCUCAGGAAAUUGAUAAGUCUUUAGGAGAAAAAAAUUCUUGAUAUCAAUUUCCUGAUUCAAUACUGAAGUCUUCCUAUCAUACGAAAAGUAAUAUGAUUGUCCAUGGCUCUAAUAAAAUCUCGAUUUUUCUACCAAGCUUUCAUCUAUAAAAAUCAAAUUUAUCCAGCAUUAGUCUGCAUUUUGAAAGAAAUAGGUUUUUCUCAAUAUGAUAUUAAUCCGUUAUGAUGCAUUAAUAUGGGAGAACAAUAAUUUGUUGCGUUUUCUUCAAACAGAAAUGAUCAGCUGGGAGAUAGGAAUAAUAAUUGUCUUUGUUCUUCAUUGUCACAGGCCAUUAGCUAAUGAAUUUAAGUUGUUCUUGGCUCUUGCUCCAAUAAGAAAACUACAUUAGAGAUCCUGUAGCCUCAAUGUUAUAUAAAACCUUUCUGUGGGUUUUAUUUUGGUCUCACUGAGGUGAUUCUGCAGUGCACUGAGAAAUGCAUCAUGACUUCGCAGCAAACGAGGUCAACAUUAACUGAUGUAGUGGGUCUAGCAAACAGAAGUCCAUCUACAGUUAGUAAUGUUGCCACAAGCUACAGCUUCUUCAUUUGGUUCCUUCUAACCAAACAAUUCUAGGGGGAAUGGCUUUAAACUGGGACAGGGGAGGUUUAGGUUAGAUAUUAGCAGGAAGUUUUUCACACAGAGGGUGGUGAUGCAAUGGAACAGGCUGCCCAAGGAGGCUGUGGAUGCCCCAUCCCUGGAGGCAUCAAAGGCCAGGCUGGAUGUGGCUCUGGGCAGCCUGGUCUGCUGGUUGGUGACCCUGCACACAGCAGGGGAUUGAAACUAGGUGGUCACUGUGGUCCUUUUCAACCCAGGCCAUUCUAUGAUUCUAAUUUAGCCAGGCUUUUCAUGCCUGUUUUUGUGACUGUUUCAGGUUGAUCUUUUGGGUGGGAAGAUUUGCUUCUUCAACUCUUCCAAGAUUGAUGGUAGGAAAAAUAAGUAACUUCAGCAAUGCUUUAAAUAAGCAACAGGAGCACAUGACUGUAAGUUGCGCCAUCCCAUCAUCUUUGCUGUUUCCCCUCUCAAUGAGAAGUCUGACACAAGAAAAUCCUGUAGAGGAAGAAAUGCUCUUCACUGUCCUGAAGAAAUCCACUCAGCUCCUGGUCAUGGGAUCCCAUACAGUGUAUCCCAUACAAAUGUGCAGCAGAAUUUAUUUUGCAAUCAUUCCUUUCCCAACAAAAUGAUUUUGGUCUGCUGGAAGGCAAGUGCAUUUCAAAUCACAAAAACUAGAAUACAAGUCUUACCCUUCUAAUUGAUUGUAGCAUGUCUUGGCCCACCACGAAGUGUGUGAGAAUGUAAACCCUACAUUUAAAGGUAGGUGAUCAUCAGUACUCUUUUGUUGCAGAGCUGACUAAGAGGUUGUGUAAGAUAACCUUCGGCAGAGCUGGGAAUGGACAUGACUUUUGGAGCUCGUGUCAAACUGCUUCUCUGCACCAUGUUGUUCCUGUGCCUGGUUGGCACCACCACUCCUUCUGCAUACCAGAGAACAUGGGAUGGCCUCUUCCAGCAGCUCCUCCUCUCCCAGCCCUUCUAGGCCCCUUCAGCAAGAGCUGGGUUCUGCCUCUGCCUGGUGGAGCCACAGCCUUGCCAGCUCAGCUUUGGGAUGCAAAAGCGCUGUGCUGAAGGCAGGUGCCAGGCAGCAGCCAUCAUCCAAUGCCCUAAACCAGCAGUGCUUAGAGCUUUGCUGACAGAAGCUGAUACACACUACAGGUAAAUUCAACAUGCAUGAAAGGGCUCUUGUUCUUCUUCAGCAUAAAGACAGAUCAUCAGACAAAUUAAUCUCUGAUAGCUUUCUUUUCAACAGCACUGAGGUGUUAUUUUUCUUGGGCUUUGCGAGACGUCCAAUUUAUCUGUUGUUCUCCUAAACAGACAGAUUGGCUUAUUUGGAUGAUACAGGAUAUUUUAUCAGGAAGAAAGGCUGAGAUGCCCUCACCAGCCUUUUGCUGUUGUUGUGUAUGUCCUUGCUGAGCUCCAGAGCGCUGGGUAGUGAUGGAAGGGAAGUAUACCUGUGGUGACUGUUCAAGUUUGUUUUUUAAUUGUAGCUCUAUGGUGUUGUAAAAGCAUUCAUUCCUCCCGGGCAUAUAAGAUUCCCAAAACUAUUCAGAGAAAGAAAUCUGAAUGUCCCUUCGCAGACUGAGGAGGAAAAACAGCUGACUAGCUCAACCUCCUCCUUCAGCCGGGACUCACUGAGCAGUCUCCCACAGGGGCAAAUGGUGGGUAAGGCUGUUUGUCCCCCACCAGCCAAACACUGCCAUGAUCUGGCAGAAUGAGCCCUGCAGCCCAUCUUUUGUGAGCUCCGACUUGUUUCUUCCUAACUAUGCAUUGGACCAGUCACUUCUUAACUCAUCUUGGAGAUAUCCAAGGUCAGGCUGGACGGGGCUCUGAGCAAUCUGAUCAAGCUGUAGGUGUCUGUUCAUUGCUGGGGUGUUGGACUAGAUAAAGGGUCCCUUCAAACAAUUUUAUGAUUAGUGCCAGGUUGGAAGGGCUGAAGGCCCAUUCUGUGCUUUGGAGAUCAGCUCUCUGUGUAAGCAGAGAGCACUGCAGGCGUUAGUCGACAUUUGCGUAUUGUGACUUCAAUGCACACAGCGUUAGAAGUGUACAAGGAGAUUAACAAAGACUCAAAGUAAUACACUCAGUUGAAAUAAUUUGCAACGCUAUUAAAUACAUGUGGAUUGAUUUGGACAUAAUGAAGUGCAGUUUCUGAACCUGAAUUACAUAGUUUGGAUAUGGCUGAGAUUGUAAAAAUGGGAGCAGGCAAUUUUACAAUCAGUUUUACAACACAGAAUCACAGAAUUGCUCAGGUUGGAAAAGACCUUCAAGGUCAUCAAGUCCAACCCCCUGCUAAAGCAGGUUCUCUUCAAUAGAUCACACAGGUCAGCAUCUAGCUUGGUCUUGAAUAUCUCCAUAGAUAGAGACUCCACAACCUCUCUGGUCAGCCUUUACCAGUGCCCCGUCACCCUUACUGUAAAGAAGUUAUUCUGCGUAUUAGUAUGGAACUUCAAGUGUUCAAGUUCUAGGAUGUGACUCCUUGUUCUGUCACUACAUUCCACUGAGAAGAGCCUGGCCUUGUCCACUUGCCUCCCACCUCCCUUUAGGUAUUCAUAAACACGAAUCACAUCUCUCCUCAGUCAUCUUUUCCCCAGGCUGAGCAGCCUCAGAUCUCUCAGCCUUUUCUCAUAAAGGAGAUGCUCCAGGCCCUGUAUCAUCUUUAUGGCUCUCUGCUGCACUCCUAGGAGACCCCUGUCUUUUUUGAGUAGGGGAGCCCAGGACUGGAUACAGUUCAAAAAAGACAGGUUUUCCCUGUGGUGUCUCCAACACCAGGACUAAUGCCUGCAAAUGCUUGUCCAUUUGUGUGUCCUUGCAUAGACUAGGUUCAUGGUUUCAUUUUCAUUAACUACAACUUUGCUAAUCAUAAACCCUCUGCAGGGCUAAGCCAUGUCACUGUUUGCAUUAGGCCCUAAUGUCUUGUUGUAUGAUGUUCGGGAUUCUGGUGUUACAAAUUUCCUUCAUCUAGUAGGAGCCUAGGUUUGCAUAAUAGAUAGUCUUGUCACAUCUGCAAGAACUCAUAGAAUCAUUAAGGUUGGAAAAAGCCUCUCAGAUCAUCAUGUCCAUCUGCUUUCCUGCCACCAAUGUUGCCCAUUAACCCACGUCUUCUGUGUCACCUCUCCACGGUUCUUGAGCACCUCCAGGGAUGGUGACUCCACCUCCCUGGGCAGCCUGUGCCACUGCCUCACUGCUCUUUUGAAGAAGAAAUGCUUCCUGACACCCAACCUGAAUCUUCUCUGGUGCCACUUGAGGCCAUCAUCUCUAUCACUCCUAUCUGACUCUCCUUUCAGACAGUUGUAAGAGUGCAAUAAGGUCUCCCCUUCCCCAGACUGAACAAUCCCAGUUCCCUCAGCUGGUCCCCAUCAUGCUUGUGCUCCAGACCCAUCAUAGCUCUGUUGCCCUUCUCUGGCCACAUUCCAUGGCCUUUAAUGUCUUUCUUGUAGUGAGGAGCCCAACACUGAACACAGCUCUCAAGGUGUGGUCUCAGCAGAGCUGAGUACAGGGGGACCAUCAUGCCCCUGGUUUGGAUCCUGGUGAGGAUUUCCUUGGACGUGUUCUGUGCUGGCCUGUGCCUGCUUAAUUCCCCCACUGCAAGGCAGCAUGCCUCUGUUCCUAGCAGGCUGUGUGGAUGACUGAUGGUGUAGAUCCAAAGUUAACUAGGCGUUCUCUUUAAAGGCGACAUACGAUAUUGUAUUUGGACAAAGAGGAAUUUCCUGCACAAUCUUUGGAGACAGCUGUAUUACAUUUUUAUGAUUUCUCUGGUAUUUAUGCAGAGUUAUUGAAAUACAGUUAAAAGGCUUAAAUUCUUUUCCAGUAUGGUAUUCUGAUUGCGUGUCCAACUACUCGGUUUCUAAUAAUCAGGAUCUCAGAUUAAAAAAAAAAGGCAUGGGCUCCACAACUGUAACUCCUCGACCCCUCCAUCGCCGCACUGGCAGUUUCUUUAGGUGCCUCUACAAACCUCCAUCUGCAGUUGAACUUGCUUCAUCUCAGAUUUUCUGCUAGUGCUUUUGGAAAAGGGUCUUUCUUUGUUCAGAUUCUGCUUUUGUGGAGGACUCUCACUUUCUCACUUGUGCUGCCAUACCCAUCUGAAAUAUUUUUUUGCAAAUCCUUGCUUAUCUUGUCUAUCACUUGCCUUUAGACAAGGCCUUCUCCCUUUCAGCUGUCUUUGCAGAGUGCUGUUGACAGGCUGUGUGAGAAGCAAUUAGGUUAUGAAUAAAGUAUAUGUUAAAAAAGAAGGCUCAAAGGUGAAAAGAAUUUCAGAGAAGACAAAGAGAAGUUAUUACAACGAGGAAAAAGCAAACAGUUUUGGAAAAUCAAGGUCAGUAUUCCUGAAGGGCAUCUUAAAUUAAAUCAACAGCAGAAUUAUUUGGUAAGAAAUGUAGUAUUUAUGUAAAAACAAACCAAAAAGAAGACAACAAACAAAGAAACUCUUAAUCUCAUUAAUGCUGCAGGAUGUCCUAAACAAGCAUAAUUUUGCUUUCAAAAAGGCAAGGGAGACCACACAGGAAGAUAUUGAAGAACUGGAAAAGGUACAAGAGCAUGAUGAAAAGAUCGAAAGCUGCUAUUUAUGGACAAAGCACAGGCUGCUUUUUUUUUUUUCUCAUUUCCCUUUCUUCCUUUCUUCCUCUCUUUCUCUCUCUCUCUCUUUUCUUUUUUUUUUUUUUUUUUUUAAGGAAGAAACUGAGGCCACAAAUGAGGGCACAAUCCUAAAGGAUACCAACAGCUGGAUGACAAAACUCGUUAACUUGUUCAGACCAUUUGCAAGCCAGCCAACACGACUGACUGGAAAUAAUACUGGGGAAUGUUCCUUGAAGAAAUCAGUUCUAACCCAGUAUUUUGUGUGGCAGAAUAAGGCAGUGCUGUCUGCAGUGUGUGGGUCUCCACCAUCAACACCCCAUCUUUCAUCUUGGCUCCAAGGGCUGAGCUGCUGCAACGUGGCUUCUGCAUUCCAGGAAUGUGACUCCUGUCCUUGACCUCAUCUGUAGAUAAAUACGUCGUCUCCCUUACUGCUGAGUGGUUUAGGAAGAAUUUCAGCCAGAUUGAGGUGGGAUAAAGGAAUUACAGGUGAGGAUGUUUUUCCUCCUCCCUUGCAGAAACACUCUUGGCUUUACCUACAGAACCUCGGGCUGGGCAGGAGAACCUCUGGGAUGGUGCAGUGAAGCCAUUUGCAAAGGCUGUGACAUGAAGCCGCCACCCAGGGAAUGGGAUUUUGGGGCACUCCUUCUGGCCAGAACACAGCAGGGUCUCACCACAUAGCAGCUGUGGGCUGAACUCAAGCAAGAGAAACAUUACACAGGUCAGCAGAUCAGGAGGUGAGUAUCAGGCUGGCCUGUUGGCCUCUGUCCAUGCCAGAGUGUUAACAAGUCCAACAGUCCAUCCUGUCUUUUUGCUGGUAAGGCAAAAUCCAAAUUGUGAUAUUUUUAUCCUUAGUGCUACUUCCUCAAGAGCAACACAGAACAUGUUGCUUAAGUCUUAUACUUUCACUAUAGGCUAUGAUAGCAACAGGACUAGUUCUGCCAUGAGGGAGUCACCUUUUCUCAGGUGCCACUUUCAAAGUCAAGCUUUCUUUGCACAGAGAAAAUGGAGUAUUCCACCUUCGCCUCCCCUAAAAAAAGUUUUAAGUUAGCAGAGGGAACCUUCAAAACAUUUUUCCUUCCGAUACAGAAUGGCCAUUGGUGUCAUCAGCUGGUGUGAAAAGACAGCUCAGUGGAGUUGUUCCAGCAAAAAAAUAAGAAACAAAGGAAGAAGAGAGGAUUAAAAAACUGGUUCCAUUGCUGCAUACAUUUUGUGUUGUGGUGAAACAAAGCAAAGAGCCAUCAGGCUCCUACGCUUCAACAGAA